UGCUCCUCAGUAGCUCAAUGGCAGAGCAUCCGGCUGUUAACCGGAGGGUUGUAGGUUCGAGUUAGGAUGCGGACGCAACCA
rnacentral:tRNA from 1 species